rfam:Talaromyces stipitatus ATCC 10500 gcontig_1105507293303, whole genome shotgun sequence.
CUUUUUUGUGAUGAGCAACAAAUUUAAAGCAUAGUUCACCUGAAAGUCUCGGACUUCAUGAACGACAAACCUUUACCAUCUUUCACCUUUGUCUGAUA